CGGGAAGGAGGCAGCUGCCCGCCCGCAGACGCGUCGCCGCUUGCCCGGAGGCGGGAGCAGCCCCGCAGACUGGAGUCUACAUGGAUUACUCGGACCUGUCUUCAUUGUUCUGGGAUUUGACCACAGGCUGGUUUCCUCUGUACUUUCACAGACAAUCCAUCUAAGAACUGAUCUGCUGGAACAGGAACUUGUGAGAGCUGGGUCAUAAGACGUCAUAAGACAGUCAAAGUGCAAAGAUUUCAAAGCAACAACUACAAGCAACAUCGCUGGCUGAAGAAUCCCACAAGGUCACCCUCACAUUCUGUCUCCUUUACAAAGAAGCUGAGUGAUGUUCGCAGCCACCACAGUGUUUGACCACAAGAUCCAAACUAGCAGCCCGGCUCCUGCUAUACAGAGACGGGAGAGAGAGACCUGUAUGCAUCAACCGCCUCCCCACAGCUCCACGCCGCCAGAGGCCCGCACACGGCUACGGCCCCCGAACGUACGGGGCGCAGGAUCAGGCCCCAGCCCAGCCAGUCGCCCGUCUCCCCCGCCGCCGCCG